rnacentral:misc_RNA from 1 species
GGAAGUAAAAGUCGUAACAAGAUUUCCGUAGGUGAACCUGCGGAAGGAUCAUUAUUGUAUAACCGAGGUGCGAGGGCUGUCGCUGACCCGAAAGGUCGUGCACACCCGAGUGCCCUCACACACAUCCAUCUCACCCCUAUGUGCACCACCGCGUGGGUCCCCCUUUGGCUUGUUCGGAGGGGGGCUUACGUUUUCACACAAACUUUGUAUGCAGUGUAGAAUGUAUUUUUUGUUUUUGCGAUCACGCAAUCAAUACAACUUUCAACAACGGAUCUCUUGGCUCUC